AAGAGCCUUGGCUCAGUAAGGUGAUUGCUGACAUCCAUAGAUGUCCAUGUGUUGCCUGAAAGUGUAAAACAUUAGAGUCUUCUCGUUCACCCCUGCUGUGAUCUGAUUCAUUUACUGCCAUGGACAUGGUGUUAUAUCCUACAUCGUGAAGAGAAGGGAUUUUACCACGCCUAAGACAUAGUCUCACCUAUAGAAGCAGUUGAUUGUAUCGUCAUACAGAGACCUCGGGGUUUAAUGUUAGACAGCCCUAUUAGUUUAGACGCCUAUUCGUCGUCAGUGAACAGAUGAGAUGACGCCUUCGUACACCGUCGACGAUUCAUAAUUGGAGCAAUAACUCUUCUAAAUACACGUGACAUGAAGACAAAGCUCACAGGGAAACUGCAAUAGCAGAUGGAGAGUAUCAAUUCUCAUCGACCUUUCUACUCCGUCAUACAC